UCCCUUCGGGGUGACGAGAUGCAGACUUAGUGGCGGACGGGUGAGUAACGCGUGAGUAACCUGCCUUUAGGAGGGGGACAACAGUUGGAAACGACUGCUAAUACCGCAUGAUACAUUUGGGUGGCAUCAUCUGAAUGUCAAAGAUUUAUCGCCUAAAGAUGGACUCGCGUCCGAUUAGCUAGUUGGUGAGGUAACGGCCCACCAAGGCGACGAUCAGUAGCCGGACUGAGAGGUUGAACGGCCACAUUGGGACUGAGAUACGGCCCAGACUCC
rnacentral:rRNA from 1 species